UGCGACGCGUUCAUCGCGGCGAGGCAAGACGAGACGCGGCGGCGGCGGAUCGGAGCUGGACUGUUUGUUGGGGGCGGAAGCGGAAGCUUGUGCUUGCGGAGUGGCAGCAAGCAUCCUAGGAUGACGCGCCUGGCAUAUAUGUACCAGAGCAGCUCCAUGGACUGGAGUCUGGAGGUGACAUUUUGAGUAGUACACACAACUAUCUGGUCCCCCCAAUUAACUAGUGAUUUUACACCAACAGUGACCCUGCAUUGCAGCAUCCAAUGCCCAGUGCCUGUGUGGAGUCGAUUUCUAGACGGGAUUUCAAGAUCGCUUGACAUGUGAAUCCUUUGUCUACCACCUUCUUACUGCUGUUGGUUAUGCAAAGUUACAAAUUUCAGAGUAUUGAUCUUUUUCUCCUCAUUUUGAUUUUACGAUCGUUUCUGCUUCUUGUUUGCUUUCCCUUGUCUAUCCUUUGGCAAUUGAAUGACUCCUUUGAAUCAUCUGUUAGAUGCUGGUCAUAGAGUCAGGAGGUCUGCGGCCUUCAGGGAGAAGAUGAAGUAGUGAGGGACAGAUCGAAGGGGACUUGUGAUCAGAUACUGCUAGUUUUAGGUGGCCUGGCCGCCACCUGGCUAGCAGAGACUUGAGGAUUCUUUUAAAAAAAACAUUUAACGAAGACUAUAAACUUGUUUAGCAGGGGGCCGUGCUUGUGAGCUGGAGAAAAAAACUUUCUCAUCAAUUAGCAUUUAGAUAAAUAAAAGUUCAGCGUGACAUCAGUUUGGCCUGCCUUUUGGACCAUGACAUACUCCCCGGUUCUACCUUUCUGCUUUGCAAAAAGCUAACUUGACUUCAUUUUUGUCUUAUUUUUUGGAUCAUGGUAUGCUGCCAUAGUUCUUUCUUUUUGACACUGCCCAAGUGCAAGUCCACCCAUACUUUCGAGACAUUCCUGCUUCUCUUUAGUUGUUAUAUAAUUACAACAAUGGACAGGUACCUUAAUUUCAGGAAGGAACCGCUAUAAGGUGAUGCAAUCCAUCCCGCAAAUUGUUACGUUUAGUGCAAUAUCACAUUUGGUCGUCUGUGCAAUGCUUUCCCAUAAGUCCUCUCACAAAGUUGCUUCCCAUAAAGUUUCCAAAUGUUCCUGAUCAUAUAAGCUCGUUCUAUACCUUAGCUGUUUUGUUAUUCCUUCAUCUAUCAUUAAGAUAAAGUCAGUCCAUUAACUGUUCCUUUUACUGGCUGCUAGACGCUGUACUUGUGUUAAGGUGGCACUGUCAAGCAUGGUGAAUGCAUUUGUACUUACUCUCUCCUUUAUCAUCAGUUCUUAGGUAUAUUUUCCUGUAGAUGCAAUUCUCUUUCAAGGUCAAUGCAAGGAUUCUGACCUCUAUUUUGGAAGGGUCAUACCUAUGAAUUUUGGUUUCUGUAUCAUGUCGUCAUUUGACCAUGGAAUCUUGCAACUAUUUCAAGAAACUAACAUAGGGAUAUGCUGUACAUGAACUGGAACCUUAGUACGAUGACUCGAUGAGUGAUGUUUUAGAAUUAUAUAACUAUCUAAAUGAACAGCACAAUUCUGAUUUUGCACGAGAUCAGUGCAAGAAAGUUGUGGAACCACCGCAAGUAGACAUGCCCCGUUUAAUCUCAUACUUAGUUUGUGCUGUCAUCCAAUAAUCCAUUUCCAAUUUCAUAGACAUGCAGUGAAAAGCAAAGCUAAUCUUUCUUGGGAAUCGUUAACUACCUUCUAAUUUCAGGUGAAGAGCUGAUAGUGGACAAGCAACGAAUAUACUGCAUAAUUAUGUUCAUAACUUCAUAUCAGUGUAAAAUGUGCACACCCACCUCAAAAACAAAAUUAAUGCGCAUAUGAUAAAAGCUGAUUAUGUCACAAAGUGGAGAAAGAGGUUACAGCUAUACUAUAUGGAUACUUUUGGUUUAAUUGCUGCUUAGAGCGGAAAGAGAUCAAAGGACACCACUCCACUACCCAUAGAACCCGGGCACUGCUCUCGAGAUGUUCUCUAAAGAACAAUUAUCUUGGUUAAUUAAAUAAUGACUAAAUAUGCAUAGCUUCAGUGUGAUGGACCCUUGCCAAUUUUGUAUUGGAGUUUCUAAUCAUUCCACAGUGCGCACCAAAGAACUGAUUCAUUUGUGUAGUCUACAACUCUAUAUUCGUAUUUCUUGAUUUUGCAGGUUUACAAUAGAAGUUGCCAAAAGGAGAGGGGCAAUUGUUUCUUGCAAGCUAGUUGAUGGAAAAUAGGCUAAUUCACAGUACAUCAGAGUGCAAUUUAUCACUAUCUAAUCAUUCCAUACUGUUGAUAAAUUCUUCUAUUCAUGUCUUGAUGAAGCAAGCAUAUGAUCUGGAUCGGUGUUCAAUGAUAUUUAUAUUGAAGAUUAAUAAUUUUGGUACAGAAUAAUUGAUUUUAAUCCAUGGUUUAUUUGGAAAUGAAAUGAUUGCAAGAUUUCUGUCUGGCAUUCGUUAAUUAGAUAUCUGAAGCUCAGCUGCUGCUCUGGAUUCUGAAGUUUAUUUUAUUUCUGGAAUUCUGCAUGUAAAAUGAGGACUUACCCGAUUAUAGCUCCUUGAGUUUGUAACUGAGAAGGUUUCUAUCGUUUUCUCAAGCAUGGCAAGGCUACAAAUCUGAAGAACAAAAAAUAUGUAUUAACCCUUCUAGCUUCAUAUUUGAACGGCAGUGGCAGAUGGGGCAUCUGUUUUCAGAAACACCGCAAGGUGGAGUCCAUAAUAUUUCAGCAGGUUCAUCGAUCAAUGGCGACGGGUGAGCAUUGUUCCUCAGCCUAGUCAAUCGGAGCAUGCAAGUAGUAAAACAAGCAGCCCUGCAACAGAAGUUCUACUUCCAAUGUAAAUCCCCUGCAAGAUCCAUUAUCUUCUACAGGAUCGGGAUCGGUAACGCAGCACUGGUUACUCAGAACAGCUCAUUUACCAAUGGGAAUUUGGAAGUGCAGGAAGUUUGUGGAUAUGCUCAAGGCAUGUUGCAUGGAGUGAAUGAUAGAACUUUUCAGAUUCAGUUUCUUCCAGCCAUACUGCAGAAGUCCAUUGAUCGAUGUAUCCUUUUAAUGCAACUGCACUCCAUUUCUUUCAAGUCUCAGCUCUUGUCAUUCUUCUGUUCUAGAACUUCAAACUUCAAUUGUGACCCUGCCAAACUUAAAACUGCAACCAAGCCCUUGCUUGCUGUCAAAAAAUGCUACUCUAACCGCCUGUUAAUUUAUCUUAUCCCCCGUGACUCACAGGCUUUCCAUGAAGUUACUUAACUGUCUUCCUGAUUUGAUGCGGCCGGUGUGGCGCUGCUCUGAUGUGAGGCACACCAUCUUUUCCUCUGAGCAUCAAAGCUGUUGCCGCCAUUAAAAAAAAGCUCUUGCAAAGCAAUUAGUCGUUGGUGUGUGUGAUCCCUACCCAAAAUUUUUUAAAACCUAACCCUCCAAUCCUACCAGUAACCUAGCAUUUAGCACCAGCAAUUACCCUGCACUAGAGGCCACAAAGAUGGACAGAGGUGUAUGCAGUGUUCAGCACUGACCUUGGAUCCAGAGAUUCUGCAGGCAAACAAACACGGCCUCCAUUGCUCCAUGACCUCAUCAAACUCUACGCUCUUUAACCUCCUCCUACCCCUCUCAAACAUAGCCUAUUUAGACCUUACUUUCUUGUUCUUACUGCUAACCUUUGGCCUCCCCCUUCCCCUGCAACUACAAGCAUAUAAAAACCUUGCACCAUCUCCCAUGGCCUCUCUUUCUCUCUCUUCGUCUUCCUCCUCUGUUUGUACUAGUCUUGCGACAUAAGCAAGACCAAGAUUUGGGGGGCAAUUAGCAGCAGUACAUUACAGUUCUACAGAACUAUUGUGUUCUUGGUCAUAUACUUACAAUUCAGUACAGGUGUGUUUGUGUAUGGGUCUUGGUGUUAUGAUGAGUAGAAGAAGCAAAU